rnacentral:rRNA from 1 species
UUAAAUAACCGCAGUAUUUAAUUGUGCGAAGGUAGCAUAAUAAUUUUUUCUUUAAUUGGGAGGUUGGAUGAAUGGGUUAACGAGAUGUAAGCUAUAUUUGAUGUAACAAUAAAAUUUUUAAAAAAGGUGAGAAUACCUUUUAGAUUUAAAGGGACGACAAGACCCUAGAAGCUUUAAAGUUUAAACUUUUUAACUGGGGCGGUUAAUAAUAAAAACAUUAUAUUUAAAACAUUUGGAUGGGUUUGUUAAUCAUGGGUUGAGCAGACAGAUUAAGCUACUCUAGGGAUAACAGCGCAAUUAAUUUUAAGAGUUCUUAUCGAAAAGUUAGUUUGCGACCUCGAUGUUGAAUUAAGAAGGCAACCUGAAGUAGAAGGUGGGUGGUGUG